rnacentral:miRNA from 1 species
CACACACACACAGCAGUGUGUGUAUGUGUGUUGUGUAUAUAUGUGUAUGUAUAUAUAUAUAUAUAUACAUAUAUAUAUAUAUAUAUAUACAUACAUACAUACAUAUAUAUAUGCGGCGUGUGCUUG